AUUGAACGCUGGCGGCAGGCCUAACACAUGCAAGUCGGACGGUAGCACAGAGGAGCUUGCUCCUUGGGUGACGAGUGGCGGACGGGUGAGUAAUGUCUGGGGAUCUGCCCGAUAGAGGGGGAUAACCACUGGAAACGGUGGCUAAUACCGCAUAACGUCGCAAGACCAAAGAGGGGUCCUUCGGGCCUCUCACUAUCGGAUGAACCCAGAUGGGAUUAGCUAGUAGGCGGGGUGAUGGCCCACCUAGGCGACGAUCCCUAGCUGGUCUGAGAGGAUGACCAGCCACACUGGAACUGAGACACGGUCCAGACUCCUACGGGAGGCAGCAGUGGGGAAUAUUGCACAAUGGGCGCAAGCCUGAUGCAGCCAUGCCGCGUGUAUGAAGAAGGCCUUCGGGUUGUAAAGUACUUUCAGCGGGGAGGAAGGCGAUGCGGUUAAUAACCGCAUCGAUUGACGUUACCCGCAGAAGAAGCACCGGCUAACUCCGUGCCAGCAGCCGCGGUAA
rnacentral:rRNA from 1 species